AGAGCACUGGGUCAAGCCUUGCUCAAAGCCAGCCCUGCUAUGGACUUCCACUUACAGUAGCCAGAAAAAAAUUCAUUGUUUUAAGUUCGCCACAAUGUUGCUGGAUGCUACACUCUACAUCUCCUGUCUAAGGAACCCAGGCUCACAGAACCCCUGCUGUCUGGACUAGAAGGGGAGAGAAGACAACAAACGUACUGAUUCUUACUAAAGCUUUGGCCCAGAAGUAAAAUACACCUCAUCUGUUCAUAUUUCAUGGGAACAGGCAACCCACAUGGCCACAACUGACUUCAAAAUGAUGGGGAGGUGCCAUCCUGGCACGUGUCAGGGGAGAAAUGAAAACAGUUGGUGAAGAGCAUUAAUGACUAUCUCUAUAGAAAAAAAUACUGGGCUGGGAAUCAAAUAGACAUGAUUUCUUGUUUCAGUUUCAUCCUUUACUGUGGUGUCACCUAAACUUUCUGAGCCUCAGUUUCUUAGUAAAAAUGGGAAUGAUGAUGAUGAUGACAAUAUCCACUUCAAAGACUUUGAGUGUUAACAGGGUCACUAAUGUAAAAACAUUUGAAAACUCUAGAAAGUUAUGCAAAUUAAAAAUGUAUCUUGUUUGAAAAUGAUGUUGCAACAUGGAAUAGUUGAAAGCAUACCACAAGGCACAUAUUAUGCCCCAGGAAGAAAAGAGAAAGAAAAUUCUUACGAUUUUCUCUUGAGAGAGAGAAAACUUCCCAAAAGCCCCCCACAGGCAUCCAGAAUGGGCUGCUGACAUGUCCAUCUUGAGCCAGGCACUGGAUUGCCUUUAGACCUCCAAAGCCCAACUGGAUCUUGGGAAAGUAUCAACAUUGCCUACGAUACUGAGCUGAGUACUUGGCAUGAACGGUGUAAGAAUUGGGAAGGAAGGGAGGAAAUGGAUACAGGGUAGGAAUCCAAUAGCUUAAUUAGGUUAUCUCAACAGAAUAUGAUUGAAUUCAUCUUUAUAAAUUUGGUUACAUAAUUUUAAUACAUCCAAUCAAUGAGGUAAAAGGAAGUGCAGGGACAAUAUGACAUCUGCCAUUCUCUGUGGAGAUUUAAGAUGUAAUAGUACCAACCAAGGAUGUGUUGUGACCUCUGCCUUCACUGCCAGGAGGUUCCAUCUUCCUGUAACUGGACUUUUCCUCCUAGAGAGGAAAAGAGGAGGGACCUCAACCUCAGAACAACAAGGAUCCCAACUUGGGACUGCGUUAUACAUACCUCAGCAGCACAAAUAAGUUGAUUCCUAAUGAUUCCUCUUUAAGAAAUGAUUUGUAGAACAUUUCUUAUCUAUUUAUAAAUGAAGAAAAAAAGUUAACAGAAAAUUAAAGUAACAAAUAUUGCCAUA